rnacentral:rRNA from 1 species
AAUGAACGUUGGCGGCGUGGAUUAGGCAUGCAAGUCGAACGCUUUAUGUAGCAAUACAUGAAGAGUGGCGUAAGGGAGAGUAAUCCAUGGUUAGCUACCCUCGGGUCUGGGAUAGCGGCGGGAAACUGCCGGUAAUACCAGAUGACAUCUUCGGAUCAAAGGUGUGAUUCCGCCCGGGGAGGCGACCGUGUCCUAUCAGCUAGUUGGCGGUGUAAUAGACCACCAAGGCUAAGACGGGUAUGGGGCGUGAGAGCGUGCCCCCACUCCACUGGGACUGAGACACUGCCCAGACACCUACGGGUGGCUGCAGUCGAGAAUCUUCGGCAAUGGGCGCAAGCCUGACCGAGCGACGCCGCGUGCGGGAUGAAGGCCUUCGGGUUGUAAACCGCUGUCGUAGGGGAGGAAGCGACCGUGAAGAACGGAAGUUGACCGAUCCUAGGAGGAAGGGCCGGCUAAUCUCGUGCCAGCCGCCGCAGUAA